rnacentral:rRNA from 1 species
UACGGGGGGGGCAAGCGUUGUUCGGAAUUACUGGGCGUAAAGGGUGCGUAGGCGGUUCUCUAAGUCGGAUGUGAAAACUCUGGGCUCAACCCAGAGCCUGCAUCCGAAACUGGAGGACUAGGGUUCUGGAGGGGAAAGCGGAAUUCCUGGUGUAGCGGUGAAAUGCGUAGAUAUCGAGAGGAACACCUGCGGCGAAGGCGGGUAGCUGGGCCGACACUGACGCUGAGGCGCGAAAGCCAGGGGAGCGAACGGG